rnacentral:lncRNA from 1 species
UUUUCCUCCAUAGAAGACCUAAAAUACAUUUUCCUCUCCAACUACAUUUCUAGGUACUUUGCAUCAUGUAUUUUCAUAGCUCCAGGCAGACUGCUUGUUUGGGAUUUUGGUUCUCCUGGCUGGUUCACCUUCAUUUUCUCAUUGCGGGUUCUUCCCUCCACUUCCUUCUGAAGGUGAUCUGGACAAAUGUACACCUGAUUAGUUGAUCCAGAAAAUUCUGCUUGCUCAUCACCAGCAAUGUUUACUUACCCUGCUCUCCAAACAAAACAGAACUUACUUUCAGCUUUUCAGACGCUAGACCUUUCCACUCAAACACUGGAGAAAACAGAACUGGCUGCAUGUUAUUCUGCAGGUUAGCCAUUUCAAGGCGAAAGGAAAAGGAGCUUUGGAGUUCAUCUCUAUUUGUGGAAAUUAACUCUCCAGAGGAGUUUUUGCAUAGAAAAUGAGAGGUUCCUCAUGAAACACCUCAGAGUCCUCCACUUCCAUGGUCUCCCACAAGCAAAGGUGCAGUCUUUAAGAAGCCAUUUCCAGAUUUGGUGUGAGUUUAACAGUGCAAGACAACACCC